rnacentral:misc_RNA from 1 species
AAAGUCGUAACAAGGUUUCCGUAGGUGAACCUGCGGAAGGAUCAUUACUGAUUUGGCGGACCGAGCGUCAGCGAGGUUUCCGCGAUCGCUUGUAUUUAAAACCCACACUUUGAAUUAUGUAUAUUUUUGUAUUUUUUAAAUGAUAAAAUAAGAUCACUUUCAACAACGGAUCUCUUGGCUCUC